AUUCAGUGUGCAAGAGAAGUACAUCAUUAAGAAGAGUAAUAUAGCAGAGAAAAGGAAAAUGUGUUACUUUUAUUCACUACAGGCCUUUUUCCUCAAGAAUUCUACAAUUAGGAAAAAUCUACCAACUUCUUUCUUUUCUCUCAAAAGGAAAAGGGAAAUGUAAACAUGAACAUUUUUGGCUUUCGUGGCGACUGCCUGAAAAGCACUUUCUGUCUACCGUGAGAAACCUGGAUAUAACAAAUGUUGGAUGACAAUAACACAGGUAUUCAAUAGGGGCAAAGAGUAUAUGGUCUCUAAGGAGAAAUAUGAAAAAAAUAUUUUUAUUGGUAAGCACACAUUACACACAAACACACACACACACACAGGCACAGCCUAUGUCAGUAUUACCUAGAUAAACUCAACACAUGGAGUUCAAGACAAAUAACUUGGUUUUUAAUUUUAUAACUUUGGUUAUUUACUGAUUCAAAUCAUUAACAAAUUAAAUUUGUUAAAUUCAUGUAUUUACCAAGUAUUUAAUGGUAUUUUAAAAUAGAAUAUAUGGUGAAAUGACUAAUUCUAG
rnacentral:lncRNA from 1 species